AUUCCCCUCACGUGUGGCCUUAAAGAGUUCUAUAUUCUUUUGCUAAGUCAGACUUGGCUUUUACCAGUUUGUUAGCGAUUUCAGCUAAAAUUUUCUUACUCGUAUCUGACAGUGUCUGCCUCAGAGCUCUGUCCAGUUGCUCCAAGCUUUACUGGUUGCACUCUAGGUCUGCUGCACAUCUACACGGAUAUCACCUGGAGAGAUCACUUAUUCUGGAGAACCCCAGAUGCUCAGUCAUGAAGACACUUAUCCAGAGUCCUGUGUGGUGAGGAACUGAGGCGUUCAUCCAGUGAGGAAUUGAGGAUUCCUACUAACAGCCAUGUGAGUGAACUUGAAAGUGAGUGAAUCCUCCAACUUCUCAAUCAGUCCUUCAGAUGACUGCAGUCCUGGCUGACAUCUUGCCUGUAACCUCAUGAAAGACCUUGAGCUACACUCGCCCAGCUAAGCUUCUCCAAAAUUCCUGAGUCAAAGAAACUGUAAGAUAAUAAAUGUUUGUUAUUUUAAGCCACCAAGUUUGCAGUUAACUUGUUAUGCAAAAAUGCAUAACUUAUACAAAUAAGGAAGUUAAUCCUAGACAUCUCAGGUAUAUGAAUUUAUUAAAAACAGGAAGAAAGAACUUGAAUUA
rnacentral:lncRNA from 1 species